rnacentral:rRNA from 1 species
AUUGAACGCUGGCGGCAGGCCUAACACAUGCAAGUCGAACGAGUGGCGGACGGGUGAGUAAUGUCUGGGAAACUGCCUGAUGGAGGGGGAUAACUACUGGAAACGGUAGCUAAUACCGCAUACCAUCAGAUGUGCCCAGAUGGGAUUAGCUUGUUGGUGGGGUAACGGCUCACCAAGGCGACGAUCCCUAGCUGGUCUGAGAGGAUGACCAGCCACACUGGAACUGGGAAACGGUGCCGCCCGCUACGGGGGGCAGCAGUGGGGAAUACUGCACAAUGGGCGCAAGCCUGAUGCAGACAUGCCCCGGGUAUGAAGAAGGUCUUCGGGGUGUAAAGGACUUUCAGCGUGGAGGCGUCACCCGCAGCAGAAGCACCGGCUAACUCCGUACCAGCAGCCGCGGUAAUUC